rnacentral:rRNA from 1 species
UCAAAGUAUUUCGACAUGCUAGUUUUUAUCAUAUCGCAAAAUGUGGUAUUGCUACAGCGGAGUAAAACAAAAAGAGUUACAUCGAUAGUACGAUAUAUUUUUUUGUAAGAUCAGGACAAAUAAUGAAGCUUAAAUUUCAUUAGUCGAAGACCUUUAACGAAUUUUCACGAAUUUCUCGUCCGAUUGGUUCUGAAACAACAACCAAAUUCAAAAGAAUCGCAGUCAAGAAUAUUGGACAAUGAGCGAAAGCUUGAUCCAGUAACUUUGAAUAGGUACAAAAAUCUUUUUUCUAACCUACAAAACUUUAAAACUAUGAUUAUUGUGUGGUAGUUGUCUCUAAUCACGUGCCAGAAGAGUCGGUAAUACGUGAGCAACAAACGUUAUGCAAAAAGACUAGGUUUACAUAGCAAUUAGAGGAAGAUAUCCCGUAGAAAGAAAACUCAACGAUUAUUGAGUUUUUAAGAAUAAAUGAUAUCUUUCGAGUAAUACCGAUGAAAAUAGAAUGAAUCAAUUAACGAUAAAAUGUGUUUAGUUGAUUUGGAAUAUCAUUCAGUGAAGACGAUUUUCUACGUAUAACAAACAAUAGAGUUUCUCUUUGUUUACUGACCUUUUUAUUGCGGAAGCUUGAGGAGCAACAAGAGUUAGUCAUUCUUUUAGUUCAAGCCGUCAACGAUGACUUUCUUUAUUCAAAACUUUUUGGAUAAACAGCAAAAGCAGAAAAGUUAACCUGAAUAGUAAAAACGCAAGUUCUAUCCUCAAAGAACUCGGUGAGCUGAGACACUAUUUGUGGAGCAUUGCGAAUUAAUUGGACAGUACACCCAAACCUUAUCUUUGCUUGUAUAAUGCGAUAUUUAAACUAGCUUUGUAAAAUGUUACAAAAUUUUCCGCAUUACAAAUGUUGCAUGGUUGUCGAGCAGAUCUUAUUUUAAAAUGUUUGGUUAAUUCCAAUAAAGAUCGAACCUUUUUUUCUUAUUUUCUAAUCUAAAGAAAAGAUUUACCAUAAGAAUAUCAAUAUCUAUAAGAUUUAUGAAAAGAAAACGACGACUAAAUCUUUAUGACUUUUAUGCGAAGAGCUUUACGUGUGCUAUAAUGAAACGAUCAAAAAGUUACUUGAUACUAUAAUUUCUGGUUAAUCUAUAAAGUGUUUCCCAGUUCGGAUUAUUUCUUGCAAUUUAGAAGUAUGAAGUCAGAAUAAAAAGUAAUGGAAGACAAGAAUGCUUCCGUGAAAAAAAACCUCUCAGUUGCACGUUUCGCCCAUCACCUCGAGAAAUUUCGUUUCGAUUGAAGCUAAAAACAAUACCUUGAAACAUCGGUAUGUUUUACUGUGACAUUGGAUCCUAUAAUUUCGAGCAAGUUGUAACAAAGUAGCUGUUGAUGAAUCAGUAGCUGGAACAAGAUUUAACAAAUCGAUUAUAA